rnacentral:rRNA from 1 species
UACGUAGGGUGCAAGCGUUAAUCGGAAUUACUGGGCGUAAAGCGUGCGCAGGCGGUUUUUCAAGACAGAUGUGAAAUCCCCGGGCUCAACCUGGGAAUUGCGUUGGAGACUGCAAGGCUAGAAUCUGGCAGAGGGGGGUAGAAUUCCACGUGUAGCAGUGAAAUGCGUAGAGAUGUGGAGGAACACCGAUGGCGAAGGCAGCCCCCUGGGUCAAGAUUGACGCUCAUGCACGAAAGCGUGGGGAGCAAACAGG